UAUAAUCACGAAAUGCAUGAUAAAAAACGAAAUUCAUUAAGAGCAGCGUCGGGUAUAUUUUUGUGAAGUUAAAUGUUUUCAUAAUUGGACCUUGCCAUCAUGUUUUGUAAUUUUGCAAUGGAUUUGGAUCCAAUUCUGAACACUAGAGCCAUGUCGUUAAAGUCAUAACUUUUUUAAUUGGGUGAGCCUUCUCCCAUUGUAGUGAGUGAGUCGUUCAUCCAUUAUAAACAAUAUUCCUUUUAGAUAUUCUCAGUCACGAAAAACAUGGGCGAACGUUUUAUUUUUGUUGCAGUCUUUGUAAGGCGUGUUUCUCUUUAUAUAAUAAACUAAAAAUGCGACCCGAUAUCUCAGAUAGGACUGCUUAGGAGUGAGAUAAGGAUCAAAUAAUGGCCUCACGUAUUGUUUUUGGAUCCUUCUAUCCUUUAUUUUGUAUUUUAAAGUAUUGGAGAGAUCGUAUGGCGGCUGUCUUUGUCUCAUUCCCUCCUUAAUUGCUUUAUUAUUAAUAUUUAGUGCCACUCUUAGAUGAAGUGGGUUUUUUUGGUUGGUUUGAAUACCCUUAGGAUGGAAUCGCGCAGCAUGCUCACGAUCGGAUGGUUGAUUACAACCUUGGUUUCCAACUAGAGGGCUACUUGUCCCCCACUGACCUCCAAUAGACCUUGAGGAUGUCGUUGGAUGGCUUUAAUUCCUUUCAUGGAGAUGAUGUCGGUGUAUUCGUGAUGGCCCGUCUGCGUGAUUCCAUGUAUAGUGUUUUCCAAGAAUAAUUAACAAGAUGUGCUGUCUUAUACCAAGAGAAAAUCAAAAUUUCCCAGUGGAACUCUAGGUCCAUCAUUCCGAGUCCCCCUCUAGCCUUUGGAAAGAAGAGUCUCUGAUGACUGAUUGAUUUUGGAGUGCCAAAAAACUCUAUGCUCUUUCUCUUCCAAUCUUGGGCCUUCAAAAGGGGUGCAUCGAAGAAUGAGUUUAAUUCCUGAGAGUAUUAUCAUAUUCCACAUUUUAUUUUAUCAAGGACCCCAACUUUGUGCUUCUGGACUUCUAUUAUUGAGUGAGAUAUUAUUUCAUCUAUCCAACGUAUGUUCUGGGAUCUUCAGUCCUCCAUUGAAACCACAUUACCAAUGACCAAUACUUUUUGAACGAGAUAACUAACGCUAAUUUUGUUUAUUUUUUUCCUUAGAGUUUGUCAAUAUCUGUGUUUUCUUCUUAUUAAUUCGUUCAGGAGCGUAUCCAGUCUAGCUCUUUCUUCCACGACUUUGUUGCUUCUUAGUAUGAUCGUGCAAUCGUCUGUAAAAAACAGGGUUCUCACUGCCAAUGAAAAGAAACUAGGACUUAAGGGAUACCCUUGACGCCUUCAUCUUUGCAAUUCUACCACUGGCUCUCCCUCGAUAUCAAUGAUUGAUGUUGUGUUGGGCAUUAUAUUUUUAAUUGCGUUGCAAUAUAGUAGUGGAAAUCCUAUAUUUUUCAUCUCACUCCAUAAAAAGGAAUGUUCUAUAGAAUCGAAAUCUUUUUUAAAAUCCAAGAAGAGAAAAGCAAAACUUUCAGUUAUCUGCUUCGAUAAUUCAACAAUCGAUUGGAGAGACAUUACUACAUCUUCAGUUGGCUUGCCCUUUCUAAAGGCAAAUUGAGUAUCUGAGAGCUCUCUUUCCAUUAUUGGUUUCAUAUGUUCCCUCAGACAUCCACCUUAAAUUUUAUAUUCUAUUUCAAUAAAGUUACUGGCCUCCAAUUUUCUAUUUUUUUGUAGAUAUUUUCCUUUCUUAAGAAAAAGAGAUAUGAUUCCCUUUUUUGCUCUUUGUUCAGGUCAAUUUCUGAAAAAAUAUUCAUUAUAUAAUUCAGCUAGGAAUUGGGCUAUUUCUGGUAACCCUUUGUAGAACUCAGGAGUAAGUCCUGAAGAUCCUGGUGCUUUAUCAUUUUUCAGUUUAUUUUUAAUAAAUAUAAGGACUUUGUAAUCA
rnacentral:lncRNA from 1 species